rnacentral:lncRNA from 1 species
GAGUUUGGAGAUUUCCCCGGGCGUGAGAGCGCGGACUGGAAGCUGGGUGUUCAAAGGCUCCCUGGACGCCCGAGUAUCUCUUUCUCGCAACUUUGUCAACGCGACUUUCUCCGCUGUCAGGCUGCGCAAAAGUAUCCUAGCGCCUCGCAGGCUGCAACAAUGGAAACAAUGUCCCUUCAAAGUGCGACGAAGUGGAGGGAGAAGGUGUCAUACCAGCGACUCCAAGAGUCAUGUCACCCACUUAGCAGGAGUACUUCUACUGAAAUGCCUUCGAAUUUCUCUUACUGGAUAUAUACCUACCAGCCGCUAGCAUGAAGAUGCCAGGACCGCUGCAAGUUAGCACUGGACAAAGUAGCAUCAACUUCUUCAUUUAGAGUUUCUUCAGUUAAAUUGCUGGGAUUUUCGACAAGGCUUUCCUUAUGUGGAUUAUUGGAGUGUGAUGCCCGAGAAUUCUCUACUUGUAGAAGCACGCCCACGGGACUGCAGAAGCCUUCACACCCACCCAGCACGCUCAGAUCAUCCAGUAACCAACCCAGGAAGUUCUUGUAAGCAUGCAUUUCUUAGUCAACACUGAAUGCCUUUAGACCGAGGUCAACCUUUUCAGCUGGUACCGUGGUUUACACUGCUGAUGGGAAUGAGUGAUGGCCAUCCAGUGACCAGCUGGAUCUGACUGCCUUACAAGACGCAUGUGUAUGAUUAAGAGAGAGACAUUCGUGACUCCCAGAUGUACCUCCUUCCUGUCCCACAGUGUUCCUGAAGGGAGUGAGUUAUGGGGUAACUUAUAACACAGCAGGCUCUUCCUCAAGAUAGCUCUUGUCAAAACAGGAAGACGAAACUCGGGUUUCCAUGAGGAGACCACAGCUUGGGAUCCUGUCUGGAUGUACAAGCAGAAGCAUCUUCAUACUUUUCCAUUUCUAACCAUCAUGCCUCACCCCACCCUCCCAAGGCGACAUCUGCAGAGAGGUGGAACCAUCUAGGGAGGCCUGCCACUGUUUGCUGAGCUCCGGGUGAGGAUGAAGACACUUUGACAUGGCCAGCUUCAGACUCGGGAUCUGUCGGUGUUAGCAGCCGAAGGAGAAUGAGGAGGAAGAGGAGGAGAAAGAGGAGGAGGAAGUAAGACAGAGGGGGACAAGAGGACCAAGAGGGCACAUGGCUGAGGAGGAGGAGAACAACAACAACAACAACAACAACAACAACAACAAGAAGCUUGGUGGUGAAACUUGGAAGCCCUCUCCAGGAUGCAGCAGGUAGCUGAGGAGAAAACGAAGACUGACCAGCCCAGAGCUCAGAGCUUCCUCCCAUGCUCAGGAUUUACCACCAAUGCCAUUACAUCGGCCUCUUCUUGUAUGCCUCUGGAAACCACAUGUGUCCUCUGUUUGUAAUGGUUUGGCUAUGGUUGCUGGCCCCUCUUGGACAUUGUUUUCAGAACUUAAAGAAACAUUGCUUUAAAGAUUUAUUAGAACAUAUUUAAAAUAAAACCAUCUUCUCAUUUA